ensembl:lncRNA
AUUGAAGCGGCAAGCCCGGAGCGUGAACCCUCAAGCCGGAGGUGAAACGUUCCUCCAUUGUUCACGGAAGCACGGGGAACCUCACUGCCACAGAACGGACGUGAGCGUCGAACCACAAAAUUCCGGCAGGGCCCUGAGCUUCCAGGCUUGGUGCAGACUCACGGCUGCAGCGACUGAGGUCCUACCUGGUUUUUGCUCACCUCCGGGACCGAAGUUCCUGGAAGCUGGGAUCAGGUCAUACACAUCCGGCGGCCCCCCGGCAGACUGCAGGACAGCAGACAGCGCUCAGGGAACGGUCCCAGAGCUGCACAAGUCAGACGGGCACCUAGGGAAGCAGGAAGGACCGGGUAAGGAGGUGAGGCAUGUCCCAGAAGGGGUGGAGUUGGGUCCCUCUCGAUGGAGGAACACGCUUGCAGGCCUUUCUGCCCGUGAGAAGCCGGGCUGCCUUCCCAUUCCUUCUUCAGAUGUGACGCGGUACGAGGAUGGCCGGGAGGGGGAGGGAAGCUUGUGUGAAUCGUGGGCGCCAUGCGGCCACUUCACAGGGCGGAAGUUUCUAGAAGAACCUGGCCCGUCAUUCUUGAACUCCUCUGAUUUUCAUUUAUUGAGAUAUUACUGUCCUGAAGGAAGCAGCACUCCUGCUCCUGAGCCUGAACUUCUGGAAAAGAGGGCAGCUGAUGGGGGGGUGGGGGGAAGGGGGGCGGGAUGAAGGGCUCGUAUGUGUCCUGGGCAGCCGUAACAAAUCGUCACACGCUGAGUGACUUAAUACGACAGCCGUUUAUUGUCUCCGGGAGGUCCAAAGUCCAAGAUCAAGGUGUCGGCAAGGUGGGUUCCCUCUGAGGCUGUGCGGGUCCCAGGUCCCUCCCGCAGCUGCUGGUGGCUGCCAGUGACCCUGGGCUUCCUCUGCCGGCCGAGGCACAGCUCCAGCCUCCGCGUCUGUCCUCACGUGGCCGUCUCCGGACUCCCCUCGUCCCCUCUUCCUCUUCUCAGGAUACUCGUCGCUGUGGAUGUAGGGCCCGCCUGAAUCCUGGAUGAUCUCACCUUGAGAUCCUUAUGUUAAUCACAUCUGCAAAGACCCUUUUCCCAAAUGAGGUCACGUUCCCAGGUUCCGGGCGGACAUACCUUUGCGGAGGGGGGAAGGGAGGAGGCCCCUGUUUGACUGGAAGAGGCAGGGCCACUGCCGGGGACAACUGGAAGGCUUGCCAGAGGAGAGGGUGACGAGCAGGGUCUGGAGGGGAGGCACGCUGCCGGGCGGAAGGGGAGUGGACGGGGAUGCUGGCGCCCUGGGAAGAUCCUGGGGGCAGCAUGAAAUUCAGUUUGUCUGCUUCUCUGUGCUCCUGAAGAGGCGGCCCCGAGGGACACGUGUCUUCCCCGAGUCAGUGCCCGGUCUGCCCGGGCACCGGCGGUGGGUAUGGAGGCUGAUUUCGUUUGCACGCUUGUCUUUGUCUCCAGACCCGGCUGCGCUCGGCCUGCCGGGACCUCCCUGGGGCUCCCACGCCCCCCACAGCUCGUCUGUCCCGAGGGCACCCCUCCAGGUCCCAAAUACCUGCCCCCUCCCCGCCCAGCACCACUGGGCCGUCAGGGCUGCGGGCCGUCCAGACGCUUCCAGGACCUCACCUUGGUUCCGGAGCCAAUUUCUGGCACGUCAGGGAACAAGAGGGCCCUUCAGCUCCUCACUCUGGAAAGGCUGAGGUUUGCACAGCCGGCCA